rnacentral:lncRNA from 1 species
GGUUAGGAGAUUCAUCAUGAAUACCACAAUACUGACAGAGCAUAUCAGCCUUCACUCCUCUGGUUAUCAAAUUGCUCGCCACAGGAAUUGCAUUUGAUAAUGUUCUCCACAUGAAAGCUUGAAUUUUUGGAGCAGUUAAGGAGUUCCAGAUUUCUUCCUUCAAUCUAUUCAAAGACGGUUGCAUCUCAGCCUCUUGAAACUCGUU